rnacentral:rRNA from 1 species
AUUGAACGCUGGCGGCAGGCCUUACACAUGCAAGUCGAACGAGUGGCGGACGGGUGAGUAAUGUCUGGGAAAGUGCCCGGUAGGGGGGGAUAACUACUGGAAACGGUGGCUAAUACCGCAUACCAUUGUAUGGGCCGAGGGGGGAUUAGCUUGUAGGAGGGGUAAUGGCUCACCUAGGCCACGAUCCCUAGCUGGUCUGAGAGGACGACCAGCAACACUGGAACUGAGACACGGUCCAGACUCCUACGGGAGGCAGCAGUGGGGAAUAUUGGACAAUGGGGGCAAGCCUGAUGCAGCCAUGCCGCGUGUAUGAAGAAGGCCUUCGGGUUGUAAAGUACUUUCAGCGAGGAGGCGUUACUCGCAGAAGAAGCACCGGCUAACUACGUGCCAGCAGCCGCGGUAAUAC